CUUGGUGACUAUAGCAGUGGAGGUACACCCGGUCCCAUCUCGAACCCGGAAGUAAAGCCCACUCGCGCCGAUGGUACUUGGGGGGGGACCCCCUGGGAGAGUAGGUCAUUGCCAAGA
rnacentral:rRNA from 1 species